rnacentral:tRNA from 1 species
GGUUUCGUGGUGUAGUUGGUUAUCACGUCAGUCUAACAUGAGUUGCGCACUGAAGGUCCUGAGUUCAAACCUCGGCGAAAUCA